rnacentral:sRNA from 1 species
AGGCGUCUGCAGUGCAUGCCGGGCUUUAUAUUUCCUUGAACCAAUGCUCAUAUGAGCCCGGGCUUGGAAAAUCGUCUGGCUGGUGUGAUCAUCUCGCGUCAGAUGAACCCGAUGCCUUUCUGACCUCGCCCACCUGAACCCCCGGUUCAGGAUGACGGCUCGGUGGCACUCGCAGACACCCU